ACAUAUAUGUACAUGUGUCUUUAUGAAAGAACGAUUUAAAUUCCUUUGGACAUAUACCUAGUAAUGGUAUUGCCGGGUCAAAUGGUAGUUCUGUUUUCAGAUUUUUGAAGAAUUGCUUUCUACAAUGAUUAAACCAAUUUACACGCCCACCAACGGUGUCUGAGUGUUCCCUUUUCUCCACAAGCUCACCAGCAUCUGUUUUCUCCAGAUUUUUU